AUCACUUUAAUUUGAUGGGUAUCGUAGGCAAUAAAUAUAUUUAAAUAUGGAUUUUAAUGAGAGUGGUCCAGUUUAAGAUAUUAAAUAAUAUAAGAAAUUAUAAUUUAGAUAGUUUAUUAAUUUAGGUUUAUUAGGUGCCAGCAACCGCGGUCAAACCUAAUAAGUAAGCUUACAAGCUUAAUAAAUAAUAAAAUAAACUUUAAAGUUAUAUAAUAGAUAGUGAAAUAUUAUUAUGUGUAUUAAUCCUAAAAAGAAAUUAGUCUAAACAAAGGCAAAUCUAAAACUAGGAUUAGAGACCCUACUAUUAUGCUCUUAACAUAUUAUUUAUUAAGGAGUAAAACUAUAAAGUUUAAACUUAAAAAUUAUGGCGGCUAAAUAAAUCAUUUAGGGGAACUUACCAUAUAAUUGAUAACCACCAAGCAUAAUCAUACUUGCUUUCUAUAAUUUGUAUACCGUUGUCUUCAUGAACCCUUUCGAAAGGGUUCAUGUAUAUUAAGUAAAUAGUUAAGAUAAAUCAAGGUGCAGUCUAUUAGCAAGAACUAAGGUGAGUUACAUUAAAAAAUAUUUUCGGAAUACUUAAUGAAAAAUUAUAUAAAGAUGGACUUAAAAGUAACAUACAAGGAUAAAUAAAAUGUGAAUUUCAUUUUAUUUGGUGUA
rnacentral:rRNA from 1 species